GCUCAGGAUGAACGCUAGCUACAGGCUUAACACAUGCAAGUCGAGGGGUAGCAGGGUAGCAAUACCGCUGACGACCGGCGCACGGGUGAGUAACACGUAUCCAACCUUCCCAUAACUCUGGGAUAGCCUUUCGAAAGAAAGAUUAAUACCGGAUAGUACUUUUUCAAGGCAUCUUGAGAAAGUUAAAGAUUUAUUGGUUAUGGAUGGGGAUGCGUUCCAUUAGAUAGUUGGUGAGGUAACGGCUCACCAAGUCUUCGAUGGAUAGGGGUUCUGAGAGGAAGGUCCCCCACAUUGGUACUGAGACACGGACCAAACUCCUACGGGAGGCAGCAGUGAGGAAUAUUG
rnacentral:rRNA from 1 species